UACGUAGGGUGCGAGCGUUAAUCGGAAUUAUUGGGCGUAAAGAGCUCGUAGGCGGUUUGUCGCGUCUGCUGUGAAAACUCGGGGCUUAACCCCGGGCCUGCAGUGGGUACGGGCAGACUAGAGUGCGGUAGGGGAGACUGGAAUUCCUGGUGUAGCGGUGAAAUGCGCAGAUAUCAGGAGGAACACCGGUGGCGAAGGCGGGUCUCUGGGCCGACACUGACACUGAGAGACGAAAGCUAGGGGAGCGAAUGGG
rnacentral:rRNA from 1 species